UACGUAGGGUGCAGGCGUUAAUCGGAAUUACUGGGCGUAAAGCGUGCGCAGGCGGUUUCUUAAGUCAGAUGUGAAAGCCCCGGGCUUAACCUGGGAACUGCGUUUGAAACUGGGAGACUUGAGUGUGGCAGAGGGGGGUGGAAUUCCACGUGUAGCAGUGAAAUGCGUAGAUAUGUGGAGGAACACCGAUGGCGAAGGCAGCCCCCUGGGUUAACACUGACGCUCAUGCACGAAAGCGAGGGGAGCAAACAGG
rnacentral:rRNA from 1 species